rnacentral:lncRNA from 1 species
AGAAAUAGCUUGGAGAAAAUCAUUCAAUACCUCUUAUUUAUAGUUUUGUAAUGUUCUUUUUAAAUGCUUCUUACAAUAUCUUGAAAGUUAAGAUCUUUCAAGGAAAGAUUUUGAAAAGUGUCCUGGCCUGAAGUCUUCAUGUUUUAGAAAUCAAGUUUUUAAAACAUCUUAAAAAGCUGUGUCUUUAGUACUGGGUGCAAAAUUUAAACAUUGCCUGCAAUUCCGGAAUAACAAUAAUCCUAACGAUAGAUAUGAUUGAAAAAGUUGGCCAGGUUCAAAAGAGAAACUUCUUCGGGGGAAAAUGGCCAUCCCAUCGUUCUACAUCAACCGCCGGUUUUUCUUUAGGGUGAAGUGAGAGGCUUGAGGGCAGGGAAGCAUCCAAAGGGAAUUUCUCAGUUGGUAAUUUCCUAGCAGAGAGGUUGAGUUAGGUGCUUCUUCCUCGAUAUGGUUCGGAUCUGUGACCCAGUCCAAAUCUCAUGUUGAGUUGUAACCCCCAGGGUUGGAGGUGGGUGGGGUCUGGUGAGCGGUGAUUGGAUCGUGGGGACCGUUUCCCAUGGUCUAGCACCACCCUGCCUUGUUACUGACAUCCGGUUGUUUGAAGAUGCACGGCCCCCACACCCCCUUUCCUCUGCUUGCUACGGGUCUGGCCAUGUGAAGUGCCUGCUCCCGCUUCACCUUCCAUUACUUUCCUGAGGCCUUCCCAGCCAUGCUUCCUGGGCAGCCUGCAGAACUCCAGCACUUGAAGUUUCAAAAACGAGGAUCAAGCCGUUCCUGGGAGCAUCCUAUGAGACAUUUGGACACAGGUUUACUUGGAGUCUCGGAGAUAUGACGGAAUCUGGAAAAGUCAAAGGAAAAAAAGCCAAGGUUAAUGGAAUUCAAGAACAUAAAUUCAAGCAGGGACGAUAUAGUGAAAACACUACUAUCUCCAUAAGUCAGUC